AAAAAUAGAAUCGGUUUACCCAGGUUGAGGCUCGGCCAUUGCACUCCAGCUGUCCUGAACCCUCAGAUUCCCCAAAUGUGGGAAUCUCGACCGCAUAAUUUCUGCUCCAGGGGAACUGCGUUAACGAUCUCCCCU
rnacentral:snRNA from 1 species